rnacentral:rRNA from 1 species
UGGGGAAUAUUGGACAAUGGGGGCAAGCCUGAUCCAGCAAUGCCGCGUGCAGGAAGAAGGCCUUCGGGUUGUAAACUGCUUUUGUACGGAACGAAACGGUCUGGGUUAAUACCCUGGGCUAAUGACGGUACCGUAAGAAUAAGCACCGGCUAACUACGUGC